GGGGGGGAGUCGCAGGUUAACGAGCUCCAUCCUGUCAUUGGUUGUCCACACUGUCCGUCCUUAAUGAGGUGAUGAGUCCGUGCAACUGAGCCCGCAGUUUUUCCUUUUUUUUCUUUUUUUAAUCUCAGGAGCAGCUGAAAAACCAGCAACCACACUGCCCCCCCCACCCCACCCCCCCCCCGCUUCCAACGGUAUUCAUCAUCUUUAGUGUUAGGUUUUUGCAUCGUUGGUGUUCCCUGUCCUGCAGAAGGCAGCGUUCCCCUAAUCUCGCCCGCUCACCAUGGACUCCAACAAAACCCCCUCCGCUCCAACAUGCGGACCCUGCAGGACUACAGCUCCCAGCAUGCACCCGACCAACCGCGGAGUUCUGGGACACGAGCACAACAUUUCGUAACAUUGAAGUUGACAUUUAAUUGGUCGGUUGCAGUAUUUUUUAACACUAAAAACAUCGCGAUCAUCGAAGACGUCGCACCAUCAAACUCAAAAAUGGGACGGGAGAUUUAGGAAUUAGGGGACGGACGUGUUUCAUCAUCAACGGAUUCCUGAACGCUGCUGGGCUGCGUCACCGUGGGAGUGUUGGCCGGGUCCGCAGAACCGAAGGGAACCAACGCUUUCCUGUGGGAAGACGACGGCCGUGCUGCCGUCGGGGGGGGUCGGGUAGGGGGGUCGGGGGGCAGGCUGGACCCUGUGGUUGUAGAGCUGUAGUCUGUAUUUGCUCUGAGGCCUCGGAGCUGCCGGACCCGCCUGAACCAGGGAAGACUUCCUUUUUCUCACUGGGGAGAACGGGGAAGCCGUCGUCCCAUUGGCUGCAGCCGUCGUCCCAUUGGCUGCAGCCGUCGUCCCAUUGGCUGCAGCCGUCGUCCCAUUGGCUGAAGCCGUCACAUCUGGAGCCGUUCCACAGUCAAACUGCCAGAACCACCAGGAACUUCUCUCCACUUUCACCUUCUGAUGCUGAAUUUGGGGAAAGGACAGGACCAUGUCUUCAGGGCCGAGCCUACCGGUCCCCGGGGACGGUUUCCACCACGGUAAAGGUCUCUUCUGGACAACGGAUCUAGAAAGAAACAAAACGUUGUUUGGCACACCAACAUUACCAGAUCUGGGGUUCAGACUCUUUAACCCUGCUGUUGUCCUCGGUCAGACCUGAACCUUUAAUCAGUCUCCGUCUGAAAUCUAAACUUCUUUUUAACCAAAAUCCAACAAACGCGGAUUCCUUCCAACGCUCUUUCAUUCCUAUUAGUCAGAAUAAUUCAUAAUUUCUGCUUUUUUUUAACUCUAAUAUUCAGAGUUAUUCUCUAUAAAUGAGGGUUAUUGAUCAUGAAUUCUAAAGGUAUAAAACUGGUCGUGGAAACUAAAAAUUAAAUCUGAAAAAGGGACAAACAUGUCAGAUUUCGUCUGUUUUUGACCCGGAGGACAACGCCAGGGUUAAAUCUAAAACCCGAUGCCCUCCUCUGGGGCCGAGACCAGCGUCUGGUUUCUGGGUUUCUGGGUUUUCUUUGUUGUAUUUGAGGCGAUGAACUGAUGUACUGUACAUACUACUACUGCUUACUGUCGGUUCUACUCGUCAUUACACAGUAAAUCUCGUGGAAAUGUAGUUUUUUUUAAAGUUGUGUAUGUGAAGCAUCGUUACCUGAGCCCGGCGGUCCCCCGGAGAACUGGUCUGUGGACCCAGGAGAAACGACCGGGUCCAGCCGGCGGGAACAUUUCUGGGUCUGACCUUUGGAAGAUGUCCGGGUCCGACCGUCGGAGGUCCGGGCCCGGCGCUCCACUCUUCUUCUCUUGCUUCGUGUGUCCAGUCAGGACUUGUUCGUGUGCAUUGUGUCACGUCAGAUUCGAGACGCUCGUCGUCGGGUCGUCGUCACGUAGUUUUAACGUGUGUGUUAAUAAAAUGUUGCAGUCACAGUUGUCAUGGUUACACUCUCUCUGUUCGGAAUAUUAAAAACACUGAUACGA